rnacentral:tRNA from 3 species
GGUGGGUUCAUCUAACGGUUAGGAUACAUGCCUCUCACGCAUGGUAUACGAGUUCGAUUCUCGUACCCACUACUA